CCUACGGGAGGCAGCAGUGAGGAAUAUUGGUCAAUGGCCGGAAGGCUGAACCAGCCAAGCCGCGUGAAUGACGAAGGUGCCAAGCAUUUUAAACUUCUUUUGUCAAGGGACAAAAUCAGGCUCGAGAGCCUGACCGAGGGUACUUGAAGAAAACGCAUCGGCUAACUCCGGGCCAGCAGCGGCGGUAAUACGGGGUAUGCGAGCGUUAUCCGGAUUUAUUGGGGUAAAAGGGUGCGUAGGGGGGCUGUUAAGUCAGGGGUAAAACCCCGGGGUUCAACUCCGGCGAGCCGUUGAAACUGGCUGUCUUGAGAUGUCGAGAGGUAUGCGGAAUGCGCAGUGUAGCGGUGAAAUGCUUAGAUAUUGCGCAGAACUCCGAUGGCGAAGGCAGCAUACCGGCGGCGAUCUGACGCUGAGGUACGAAAGCGUGGGUAUCGAACAGGAUUAGAUACCCUAGUAGUC
rnacentral:rRNA from 1 species